rnacentral:rRNA from 1 species
AUGCCUAACACAUGCAAGUCGUACGGAGAGUGGGGCAACUCACUCUCAGUGGCAAACGGGUGAGUAACGCGUGAAUAACCUGCCUUUGAGAAGGGGAUAACUGUCCGAAAGGAUAGCUAAUACCCUAUAUUGCCUUUUGUCACUAAGGCAAAAGGUGAAAGCGAGGCUGUCAAAGGCUUCGGCUCAAAGGGGGGUUCGCGUCCUAUCAGGUAGUUGGUGGGGUAAUGGCCUACCAAGCCAAUGACGGGUAGCUGGUCUUAGAGGAUGAUCAGCCACAGUGGGACUGAGACACGGCCCGCACCCCUACGGGGGGCAGCAGUGGGGAAUCGUGGGCAAUGGGCGCAAGCCUGACCCCGCAAUGCCGCGUGAGGGAAGAAGCCCUUCGGGGUGUAAACCUCUGUCAUAUGGGAAGAUGAGACUAGGGGCUAAUACCUCCUGGUCUUGACGGUACCAUCAGAUGAAGGGACUGCUAACUACGUGCCAGCAGCCGCGGUAAU